rnacentral:lncRNA from 1 species
GCCUCCUGAUCCACCAAGACCAUAUGGUGUUUUUCAUAAAAGAGAGAGAUCAUUCCCUUGACUUUGGACUUCGCUUAUUGAACCCCUGGACAGCUGGAGUGCAGUGGCACCAUCUCGGCUUACCGCAACCUCCGCCUCCUGGGUUCAAACAAUACUCCUACCUUGGCCUCCUGAGUAGCUGGGAUUACAGGAAUCAAGGUUGCUAAGAGACCACCUGUGCUGAAUACACUUUGUUCUGGCAAGAGCAGAAAACUGAGAAGCCGUGUUACCUACCACUACCUGGGAUUAAUUCAGGGAGCGGGAUAAUUCUGGAUAUGACUGGUAAAAACUGGAUAUUAAUUUCUACUACUACUCCCAAAAGUCUAGAAGAUGAAAUUGUGGGAAGACUUCUAAAAAUUUUGUUUGUUAUCUUUGUUGACUUAAUUUCUAUUAUAUAUGUUGUGAUAACUUCUUAGAAAGCUGACUUCCUUUCCAUGUACAUUUCAAACUGAAUUACAGUGAAUAAAAAUUUGUAUUUUAA